ensembl:snRNA U6 U6 spliceosomal RNA
GUGCUUCUUCGGCAGCACAUAUGCUAACAUUGGAACGAUACAGAGAAGAUUAGCAUGGCCCUUGUGCAAGGGUGACACGCAAAUCCGUGAAGCAUUCCAUAUUUUU